GGGAACUUUCUGGUGAAUUUUGCAGGUUUAAUGUAGGGAUUCAAGACUGGUACAUCUAUGCAAUGUCAAAUACUAUGUUUGUCGGGUUUGUGAAGUUGUUCUGAAGUCAGAGUCCCUAUAUGGGAUGCACACCAGGUUUCUUGUAAGCAUCGCGAGGAGAUCUAGUCACUGACAAUGGUUUCUUUUGUAUUAUUUGAUUGAUGUCCGCUAAAGAAAAGACUUGGACCAGAUUCCUCAAACAAGAUGGUUGCACAAAUGACAUCAAUUCAGGAGCAAGCAAAGACAUCAAAGGAUGAGACUCAAGGAGAUGUGAGAAAUUAUAGGUUCAUUUUGAGAUUUGAAGUGUUACUUGCAUUUUUUGCUAUGCCUACACCUUAUUUGAUAGUGAUCUUUUGUGUUUGUAAAUUAUUAUUUCAGUGAUAAAAUUUUUAUAUUUUUCAGAUUUUUGUUUAAAGUUAU